CCUACGGGUGGCAGCAGUGAGGAAUAUUGGUCAAUGGGCGCGAGCCUGAACCAGCCAAGUCGCGUGAGGGAGGACGGCCCUACGGGUUGUAAACCUCUUUUGCCGGGGAGCAACGGGCGCCACGUGUGGCGUCACUGAGAGUACCCGGAGAAAAAGCAUCGGCUAACUCCGUGCCAGCAGCCGCGGUAAUACGGAGGAUGCGAGCGUUAUCCGGAUUUAUUGGGUUUAAAGGGUGCGUAGGCGGAUCGUUAAGUCAGUGGUCAAAUUGAGGGGCUCAACCCCUUCCCGCCAUUGAAACUGGCGUUCUUGAGUGGAAGAGAAGUAUGCGGAAUGCGUGGUGUAGCGGUGAAAUGCAUAGAUAUCACGCAGAACCCCGAUUGCGAAGGCAGCAUGCCGGCUUCCGACUGACGCUGAGGAGCGAAAGCGUGGGUAGCAAACAGGAUUAGAUACCCCGGUAGUC
rnacentral:rRNA from 1 species